rnacentral:rRNA from 2 species
AGCUAAUACCGCAUAAAUCCAAGAACCGCAUGGUUCUUGGCUGAAGAUGGCGUAAGCUAUCGCUUUUGGAUGGACCCGCGGCGUAUUAGCUAGUUGGUGAGGUAACGGCUCACCAGGCAAUGAUACGUAGCCGAACUGAGAGGUUGAUCGGCCACAUUGGGACUGAGACACGGCCCAAACUCCUACGGGAGGCAGCAGUAGGGAAUCUUCCACAAUGGACGCAAGUCUGAUGGAGCAACGCCGCGUGAGUGAAGAAGCUUUCGGGUCGUAAAACUCUGUUGUUGGAGAAGAAUGGUCGGCAGAGUAACUGUUGUCGGCGUGACGGUAUCCAACCAGAAGCCACGGCUAACUACGUGCCAGCAGCCGCGGU